rnacentral:rRNA from 1 species
GAUGAACGCUAGCGACAGGCCUAACACAUGCAAGUCGAGGGGCAGCACAAGGUAGCAAUACUGAGGUGGCGACCGGCGCACGGGUGAGUAACGCGUAUGCAACCUGCCUGUAACAGGGGAAUAGCCUCUUGAAAGAGAGAUUAAUGCCGCAUAAUACGAGAUUCGGGCAUCCGGAUUUAGUUAAACAUUUAUGGGUUACAGAUGGGCAUGCGUUUCAUUAGGUAGUUGGUGAGGUAACGGCUCACCAAGCCGACGAUGAAUAGGGGUUCUGAGAGGAAGGUCCCCCACACUGGUACUGAGACACGGACCAGACUCCUACGGGAGGCAGCAGUGAGGAAUAUUGGUCAAUGGACGCAAGUCUGAACCAGCCAAGUCGCGUGAAGGAUGAAGGUAUUAUGUAUUGUAAACUUCUUUUGUCAGGGAAUAAUGGGUGUCACGUGUGACGCAGAGGAAUGUACCUGACGAAUAAGCAUCGGCUAACUCCGUGCCAGCAGCCGCGGUAAUACGGAGGAUGCGAGCGUUAUCCGGAUUUAUUGGGUUUAAAGGGUGCGUAGGCGGUUUGUUAAGUCAGUGGUGAAAGUUUGCGGCUCAACCGUAAAAUUGCCAUUGAAACUGGCGAACUUGAGUACAGUAGAGGUAGGCGGAAUUCGUGGUGUAGCGGUGAAAUGCUUANAUGUCACGAAGAACU